UGGGCAGCGGCGCGCUCACGGAGGGGCUCUGAGGAAACUGCAGUCGUCGACGCCUGCGUUGGCAACGCAAAAGCCCAGGAGGGAUAGCGCAGCCGAGAUUCUCCGACAGCUCCCCACCUCUCCCGGCUCUCUGAUCUACCACGUCAGGUAUCCUUCCAAAGAUGGCAGUUCCACUACUGCCCUAGGCUUCAUAAAGACGUCCUAAGCCUCCAGAAGCGGAUACCCACGAGCACCUUUCCGGUCUCAAGGACCGAAUUCAUCCUUCCCUGCACAUCCUUCC
rnacentral:lncRNA from 1 species